AAUGUGGGAGUCCCGCCGCCUACCGGCUAGGAGCACCCCCUGCCCCGCCGGCCACUCAGAACGAGGCCAAGGCAGGAAUCCUGGCCCUGUGCCGCUCUCCCCAGUGGAAGCAGGGCUGGGGCUGGCAGAAAUAUUUUGCCUUUUAUCCUGUAAAGCGACCCAACCUCCUCCGGUGCCCCCCCUUGUCCCACCUGCUGCAGCUAACUCACUUGCACCCAGGCUGCNGCCCCAUUUUCACUCCCUCUCGCCUCCACCGGCCGGCACCCGGUGUUCAUUUACUCACCUGCUCCCCCACGCAGGAUGGCAAGGACAGGCCCUCGACCCUGAGUCCCCCCUUUGCUGCGCCUUCUCGCCCAGGGAGGCUACCCUGCUUCAGCCGCGCAGGAAGGGCUGCCUGCGGGGAGGGGGGAGAUGAGGUUUGCACAUCCCUGUCCCAAUGCAGGUGCUGCCUCCUCCCAGCUGCGCUGGUCUCUGAGCCUGCCGGGGAGGGAGGUUAGAGCUGGGAUCCGGGUUCCUUAGCGUGACGCCGCCCCACGUGUGUGCAGCCCCGUGGCAGGGACCUGGCAGUGGUCCUGGUUCACAUCGCCCCUGCCCUGCUUUCCUGCUAGCACCCUCCUGCUGCUGGCCUGGGUGGACGAGCUCGGCCCCAGCCCUGCUGCCUGGCCUCAGACUAAGGGUAUGUCUACACUACUCUGAGCCACCUGCCCAGGGCUUGGCUAGUGCGGACACAGCUUGUGGCACGCUAUGGCGUGAGGGGCAGCGGAUUCCCAGAGCCGCCCGCUGGAGCAGGCUGACGCUGGCCCGUGUGUGGCCUUAGCAGCCACGCGCCUUGAAGGGAGCCCGGCUCAACCUCCCUGUGCCCAUUCCUGCCUGGCUCAUCUCUAUUGCUGAAUGAGGUUGCCAUGACCACAGGGCAGUUUGGACAUGUGAUGCCGCCUCCUGCUGGAGGGAAUCAAACUACUCACCAAUGUGGCAUGCUCCCUAUACUGCUACCAGCUAGGGUGAUUCUCCUGGAGCUCAGGGAUGAGCGUGGGGGGGCUGGAAGGACUGGGAUCGAGCCUUGCUUCCCCUUGGAAGCUGAGGGCAGCGCUGUGCCAACCUUGUGGCCAUACUGGGUGGCUCAUGUUUGUUCAAACGCUCCUGCCUCACGGUUAGCUCCAGGCCUCGGCUUCUGCCUCCCCAGCAUCUGUCGUGACAGAAACAGGUUCAGGAAGAGGCGCUAAGUCCACCCCUGCCAGCAGUGAGGGCAGCUUGCGCUCCCUGGGAGCUGCAUCUUCCCUGCCCCAUGGCAGCUGGAGCAGUGCCCUUGAGCUGUAGCCCAGGGAUGCAGGGAGGGGCACAGAGUGCCUGCUUCGAUCCUUGGCACUGGGAAGCAGGAGCCUGCUUGUGGCAAGGGCUUCCCGGAGGUGGGGGCU
rnacentral:lncRNA from 1 species